GUCUUUGGAGAUAUUUAGAAGAACAUGAUACCCAAGAAGACUGAGCGGUCUUUGUGGAAACAAUGGACCAGGCAGCUGAAAAGAUGCAAUAGGAUUUCAGAGGAUCACCAAAUCUCUGCACAUCCUUCAUCUGAACAAAAGCCCACCCUUCUGAGCAGUUUAAUCCAGGCUUGAUACAUGAAGCAAACUUCAGUGGACUUAUUCUUGCCUCACACCAAUGGUAAGAGGAAAGAGAAGCAAGUUAUUCAUGUUUAAUGUUAUUUUAUGCCAGAUGUUUUGCUGGUAGAAAUCCAUAGCUCCACAGGCACUAAUUUCUUCAGGAUCUGGAACGUCUGGCCCAAUUUCUUUCCCCAUUCUGGAUGGUCUGUGAAGGAAACUGCUUUAUUUUGCAAUAUUGAAUAUUCAUGCUGGGAAGUUAUAAGCAAAAACAAAAUAACAAGAGACAGGGUCUCUAAUAAGCUUCCUGUCACGUGAGGCUCAGGUUCUGUUGAAGCAGAUGUGGUUGCUGACACAUUUCCAAAAUGUUUGUUGAGUGGUGAUUAGAUUCUGUUAUAUUGAUGUUAUCUCUCUGUGAUCUCAUUCAAUUCAAGUAGUUCUGCAAGCAGUGAAAUCUUUUUUCCUAUGAAUUUACAUCUUGGAUUGUGUUUCGGCAUGGAUUCUCUGAUGUUUAAUGGGGAUUGAGUUCAUUUUAGCCUGUUUCUCCAAUGAGGGAUGAAUAAUGUCAUCUUUAUUGGCCAUCUACUUUCAUAAAGCUUGUAAGAAUUAAGUAUCUCAAGGAUGUCAAAUUGGAGUGGGAAUUAGGAACCAGUUCCAAAGUUAUCUGGGGCCAACUCAUGUAAACAAACAUGAACAUGAGUUUCAUUUUCUUACAAAAGCAGAAAGUAAGAAUCAAUUUUUUAGUAUUUUGUCCUUGUAUAUUACCUGGUUGAUUCUAUUCUGUUUAUUUGUGAUAAGUCAUGUAAGAUAUGCUUUAUCUGUAAAGCUGUAUGAAAUAUGGGAAUUUUUUUGCCACAUUGAAUAUAUAUUAAAACAUUAUUAAUUUAUACUUAUGGGCCACACAAGAGAUUACAUUAUUUUUAUUGUCCUCACUUGAGCAUGGGAAAGAGGUGAUGUGCAUUUUAACUGACAUGUUUGCACAGGCAAGUGCAGAGAAAGAAUGGAUUGUUUUUCCUUUAGAAUUAGACCUCACCAUUUCUGGUUUGGAAAGGAAGAAAGGAAACCUAGAAUUGAAAAUGACCUUUCAGGUUGCUGAGUCCAGUCUUCUGCUUCUGCAGUGAGCCAAGUUCCCAAUCUUUUUCAUAAACAGAUUGCGCUGUUCAAAAAUAUGCUCUUUCCUCCUUGUCAUCUCUCCUAUCCUCCCUGUUUCCUACUUUAUUUAGGGUUUUACUCCAGAAUUUCCUUCUUUUUAUAGGAAGAAACCUUCUAAUUUCCAUGGUCAGUUUUGUUCUUGUUUGUUCUUGUUCCAGGAAUGUUCCUUAGGUUGCUUAGUUCUUUUCUACACUGUCUAACUAGACACUGUGCAUGUGCUCUGCUAUGCCAAGUCCAGUAAAGGAGGUAGGAGUUAGUCUUCAUAGCCAGCCCUUCACUUAUUUCCCUCGUACUUUAGCUGUUUAGAGCAAAUCCUUCAUGCAUUUUUCAUGAUAUGUCACAUUAAGCAAAGAGAAAGUUCCUGUGGAUCAUAGAUAAUUUGAGGACAAGUGGAAAGGGUGGUAGGAAGGUUGGCAGCAGCCUCAGUUCACUGACUAUAGGAGGAUGGAUGAUCUGUUGCACAGCCUAAGGGGGUCAUAUGAAAAUUAAGGAUACCAUGAAAAAACUGAGAAAAUCACAGCCAUUUUAGCUUUAGUUUGUACUAAAUAAGAAACCUGAAGUCUUUCCCUGUUCCUUCCAUGUUGAUUUUUCAAAUGUUGAUAACAUCCAGUCAAGGCUUCAUGUGGUUUGGCAGGGGUUUCUUGGGGUCUGACCUGGGAAACUAUAAGGUUCCUGGAGUUUCCUGUGAAGGGUCAGGGUUCUGUACCUUCAGCAAAGCUAACUUCUCUUUCACGUCCUCCUCAGUGACAAUAAAAGUCCAUCUUGAUUUUAUUCAUUUUACUUGUAUAACACAUCUGAUUUACCUUAUCAUAUUCUCUCUAAUUAAUAAUCUCACUAGCCAUUCAAACUCUCUGCUUAUUUUUACAUUGGAAAUGUAACUUUUGCUUCUUCUAGGUUAAGAAAUGGUUAUAUGGCUAUUACGAAACAUCAGCAGGAUUUAAGAAAAAUUAUUAAAAAAUAUCACAGUUGCUUCUUUCAAACCUCCUUUUGUCUUUUUAAUCUUCUGCAAGGUUAGUUUAGUUUACUUAAUGUAAAUCAACAUUUAAUUUAAAAAUUAAAAGCAUGAAGAGGGAGGGCAAUAAUUGAAGAGGUAGAAGAAGUAGAGGAGACGAGAAGGUAAGUAGAUCAGACAAAAUUUGAUGUGUUCAGCUUCACUGCUGCCAGUGUAAAAGGCGACAUCUGUUUAUGGUUAAAGAGGAGCUAUCAUGUGGAAACAGAACAAGAGCUAGAGAUCAGGGCUCGCUUAUUCUUCUAUUGCAAAGUAGCCAGAUUUCUUCAUUAUGUUUGAUAAUGGCAGAUUAAGCCUUUGAAUCUGAGUUGGAUUUCUGAAAGGUCCCAAGAAAGAUGGCAAUGGAAAUUUUAAACCCAGAUUUUGGGAGUGUGGUUGUUCUUGCUGCAGAGCUUUUCCUUUAGAAGACCUUGUCAGCUGGAACCUGUGCCUGUAUUACGAAGUGACACACAUGUGGGUGCUAAGCAGCCAUGGUUGGACGCUGGGUGCAGAGGCCUGCUUCAGAUUCUUUAGAUGUGAGCGAUUUCUGAACAAUGCUUAUCCUAGUCCCCAAGAAAACAUAACGGCAGCCAAAGAUAAGUGAAGUGGAAUCUGGCUAAACUCAUCAUCUUCCACAUUGGUCUCCUUCUUCAUCCAAGCCUCACUCUGUCCCAGGGGACUGCAAGGGUGUGUGUGGCAGGCAGCCAUCACCCAGGAAUCUCCCCUGUGCCUGGCAAGUUAAGAUUGGGAGGGAUCUUUCCUGUUUUCUGGCCCCUUUCAGGACUGACAAAAGAAAGCCAGACACAGCUUGGAACUUGUGCCAAAGUCUUCCAAGUCUUUGUUAACUGGCAGGAUGGUGGUUAUUGGCCAGUGGUGUCUGGGUGUAAAAGAAAAAGGAAAUCAGAUGGAGUCUCAAGAGUCUAACAGGAACUGCAAAUGGUUGGGGUUGAAUGUCCUGACUUUUUUUUUAAUAUUAAACUUUAACAAAUGAUGUCACAAAGAGCAAUCCACAGCCACAUAGAAUAUGCUGCUAUCACCAGAACAGAAGCAUACACACGUUCCUGCUCACCACACAAGUGCUCUUUGCCAUGUUAUUCCACCUUCAUAGUUAACUUUGAUUGUUAGCCUGGCUAUAAGAAUAUACUGUCUACCUGUGCGUCAGCUUGUGUAUCUCACCUGUCCUUUCUUAAGCCAUUGACCAUUUGCAACUAUAUCUGAUAGAAUGAGACAAGUCUCAAAGUUAUGAAAUUCCUAAAAAAUUCAUUACUAUAGGCAGCCAUGUCUGUGUAGAGAAUAAGGGAGGAAGACCCUUCUAAGAAGAUAGAAAAUCUACAUUUGGGCAAAUCCUUAAGACACGUGUCUGUUGGAAACUGGGCUUCAACAGCACUUAGCAUAAAAUGUUUGUUUAUCUAAUACUACUACGUUUUUCUGGGACUGGCAAAUGAAUUAUUUAGUAAUGGAAACUGCAUGUGUAUCUGGCUUCUGUGGGUUCAUGUUAUAGAAAACUGUAGGAGUGUCUGCAGGGAUCGCAACUGCCCAACUUUGUGUCAUAGACCCUGUGUCUUAACAGGACACAGAAAUUCCCAUUUAGCAGAGGAGAGCAGAGAGCAUGGGGUGGCAAGUUUUAGCUUUUAUUGCUAAUGCUUUGUAAAAUAACCUUUAUGGUCUGCAGACUCAGACCUGUGCAGGUCUGCGUGACCUGAGAUUUAUUACGUCACUACCAUAUUUGUACAUCUCUCUCCAGUUCCUGGAUAUGAAAGAAAGUAAAGCUCCAAAAGUUCAGCUUGAUGUUAAUAGAUCGAGAUAUACCCAAUAUUUAACUUCUCUGGACAAAGGAACUGCAUCAAGGGUUGGCUUGUCCUGUUACAUUGUGAAGGUGUCAGCACUGUGUGCUGCAAUGCUUCAUGCAACCUUAGGGAAAAGAAAAAGAGAAAAAAAACCCGCCAAGUGUAUGUGCAAUGGAAAACAGAUGGAGUUUUCAUUAGAUGUUACUUUUAGUGAUCUGCUUUAAAAGUAAAGAUACACCAUUCUGAGCAAAAGGGUCUCCUAACAGCUUUGUUUAGGUCCCAGAUUUAUUAUCUUAGCUACAGAUAGGAUUGCAAUAUCUUUGUAUCAUUAGGAGUUCCAGUCAAACUUGCCUACCAUUAUUAGAAUUCCAAACACAGCAAAACAAUUUUGAGGUCUUAACAAUAUUUUUCCCUAAGAUGUAUCUUUCUUUAAUGAUUCAGAGUUGUUAUUAUUAUAGGCCUGGCAGUUGGUUGCUCAGUUUCUGGAGUAUUACCAUUUAACCUAGGUCAGAAUAAAAAUCCUGGAGUAUUCAUUGCAGGACAGACCUUUUGCUUCUUUGAGGGCCUGGUCUUCACAGUCAACUUUGAUGUGGCUCCUCCAAGUGGUCUUACUGGCUGUGAGAGGUGACCCUAGCAGUCUAGAAGGCCUGAAGAUCCUUCCUAAAAAAGAUGAACCCUGCAAUCUGUGCCUGUAGGUACUAAAUCAGCUUUUGACAAGUAAAGAACAAUGCAGUCCCAGGGGUUUAGGAAUAGAUGGUUGCUGCCAAACCACAAUAAAUGCUUUUGUCUGGAACUCAUGGAACAGUAACAUAGCAAUGGAGGGUGUACCCUUGUCUGUUAUUCCCUCUGAGCAAAUUCUCAGAGACAUGUUACCAUGAUUCAGAUAGAUUUCAUGGAACUAGUCGAGAAAUAGGCUUUCAUUUCCUUACAAAGGGAGGAAGAGACAAUGGAACUCAGCAAAACAUAUGGCUUUUUUUUCUUUUGUUCCUGUCUGAGAGUUAUGCAAGCAAAACCCAGUGCCCAUCCUCAGACAGUACUCUCUGAAGUGAGACUCAUGUGAGAAAAUUUGUUACCUUUCUUCUGAGUUGACAAAAUUGUUUUACUUCCUCUGCAUAUGUAUAAACACAACAUAUGUCUUCAACUCAUCUCCAGCUGGAGAGUAUGAAUCAAAAUCCAAGCUUCACAAAGUUUAAGGAAGUUUGGAGUUCAUGUUCAUUGUCACCUCUGUAGAAAAUACCUACAUAAAUAAAAUUACCUGCUUUAAUAAAAAAGAAA